rnacentral:lncRNA from 12 species
AUGUGUCUUCAAAGCCAAAGGCUCCCAAGUCUCUCUACCAAACCCAGCCUGAGACCAGACCUCCUCCUCCUCCUCAGCUGGGAGCAUCCGGAGAAGGCUGCAGCUUGCCCCCCACACCUCCUCAUCCAGGAGGCCAGCCCAGCUCCUUCCUCGAGAGAAGGUGAGCGCGGCGGGCGCAGCGGGCUGGGUGGGUGUGGCCCGCGGCUCCGGGAACCGACCCAAGGCCCCGCCACCGCCCGCGAGCCGCCCGACAGCCCGCCUGCCUGGCGAGCGCAAGCGCUUCUUCCAGAAACUGCGAGGAUCCGAGCGCACUGUUUGUGCACCACAAGGUCAAGUCGGGAAGUGGAGCCGGAGGAGGAGGGGCGAGGAGGCGACGGGUGGGGAGAGGGGCGCCCCGCUUCCUCGCCAAGUGCCAGCCCUUGGAAGUUGCCACCUCGGUUUUUAACCCUUUAGGGGUAAUGGGAAGGUCGAGGUGGGGGGAGGAAGGGGACACCGCGGGGCAAACUCCUACAGGGACAGGGACAGGGACGAGCAGCUACCCACCCACCCAUCACUGCGUUCCCCACCCCCCGGAAAUGCGGGGCAGGGCUGGGAGCCUGGAGACACCCGGGCGGGGGAGGGGGCCACGAACCCGAGAGGGACCCUCUCCACGGACCGCCCCUCCUUCUUUGAGGUCGCCCACAAUUUCAAGUUUCCCCCGCCCGGGAUGUUAGUUUCCAUCUGCUGCGGGUGGGGGAGGAGGGCCGCGCCCCCUCCCCCAGACUCGUGCGCGCGCCCCUCCCCUCCGCUCCUGCCAGCACUUUCGGCUCACUUCUGGCGCUGCAAAGCGCCACGCGAUUUAUUCGAUUCGCAUUUUUAAACUAGCGAUUCGGGAGCAGGGCCUAGGGCGAGGGUCUUCCAGCCUUGGAGCCCCGGGAGGCGGGGUGCUCAGUGCAAACCUCGUUCCCUCCGCGAGUGUCGCCUUCAGGCUGUUAUUUGCAAAGAAACGUCUUUUUGACGCAGGGAGAAAUGGCAAAUUUUAAGUACGUCAUUAAUAUGGCGCCAAAAGAUUUUUUUAAGUAUAAGCUUGCUUUUUUUUUUUUUUUUAAGGUUGCGGGGGGCGCCGCCCGGGUCUGGGGCGCGAAGGGGGCGGAGUGUGAGCAGAAAGUGUGAGUGAGAGAGUGGAGGGGCGGGGUAUAUGUGUGAGUGUGUGAAGUGUGAGCAGACCUGAUGGGACUUGCACGGGCGCAGCCGCCGCUCGGGCCCGGCCCUGGGGACAGGGCGGGCUGGGGGCGCCCCAGAGCCCAUGGGGAGUCUGGGCCCGAGGUGCAGGCAGACGGGCAGACCGGCAGAGCACCCUCCCCCCGAGGCCUGCAACGCUACCUGGACCCGCUGCCGGAGCCAAACAACUGGGCGGGGGUGGGGCGGGCGACGGGGGGUGUCAGGAGUGGAGAUCCGAGUGAAUAAGAAAAAA